AACGUAGGAGACAAACGUUAUCCGGAGUUACUGGGCGUAAAGGGCGUGUAGGUGGUAAUGUAAGUCUGGCGUGAAAUUUUUCGGCUUAACCGGGAAAGGUCGUCGGAGACUGCAUAACUAGAGGACGGUAGAGGCGUGUGGAAUUCCGGGUGUAGUGGUGAAAUGCGUAGAGAUCCGGAGGAACACCAGUGGCGAAGGCGACACGCUGGGCCGUACCUGACACUGAGGCGCGAUAGCAUGGGGAGCAAACAGG
rnacentral:rRNA from 1 species